AAAGGCGUCAGUCAGAACAUACCAGCUCGUAACUGGUACAUACUGUUCCAUCUCCAGACCUAGGGCUGUUAUGGUGACUGUAUUACCGACACACCGGCAGUCACAAGUCAUGACUGCAGUCAAAUUCCACGUGACCAUUUAGUCCUGGUUAUUAGGCUUCUCCAAGCUCUGACACUACUGAUGGUCAUUAAUAGCCCACCAAACUAAAGGGGUGCUGGCAGUUUGAUGUUGAUUGACACCCCAUUUCACCUCUUGUUGAAAGAAGCAUUUAUUUUGACAUUCGGCAGCGCAUUUUUCAAAUCGAGGAAGAGAGAAUAUUAAUGUUGGUUGCGAGAUACAGAAGAAUAAGAAUAAGAGGAACAUACAGAAGAAGAGAGAAUGUUUCCACAGCUCCACAAGCUCUUUUCGCGAUUGGCGAAAGCAUCAUAUUUUAAACAUGUCAAGAUCCAGAGAAGAGGGUCCUGUACAGCCGUGUUUGAAAACAUUUUCCAAAACUCAGCAUGGUACUAGGAAAAAGGUUUGAACAGCUCCUGGUUCAUCUGAAGUGGCUUGCAGUUCAGAAAGAGCUGUAUCCACAGCAGCAGCCCAGGAAGCUACAGAGACUUACGGAUGUAAGGUUGGCAUGCAGAUACAUGGCAAGCCGUAAUCUGAGGGACAGGCUUCCAGCAGUUCUGAGAGUGCCACAGGAUAUCACACUUGAAAAUAGCGGUGAUAGAUCAGUGGAGGCAAGGGGCCUUCUUUCUCAGAUAGAUUUACAUUUCAUAGGGCUUUUGGUUACCUUUUGUAAAGUGAUUGGUGAUGCCAAAUGUCUUUCUGACAUACUCCAAUCAAGGUCUCUUGACCUAGCAAGAGCUGUGGAUCUAGUAGGUUCCCUUACAGACACAUUACAGGACUACAGAAGUGAGGGUUACAUUGGAGAACUAUGGAAAGAGAUUGAAGAGAUUGCAGAGCAACCCAAAGAGUACAGCAUUCUUGAAUGAGGAUCCUCUGUUUGCCUUUGCUCAGACCUUUGAGUCAAACAUGAGGUUCAUCAAACCAAGCGGCUUUUUGAUAGGAGAGAGAAACGUGGAAGCGACAGACCGUCUACUCUCCUUGACUUGGUUGUGUUUCUAGAACCUUAUAAAGAGGUCUUCCAGAGCUAUUUCGACUUUGUAAGAUUUCUGUUGUUAAACACCAGUCAGCAGUGCUUCUUGCGAGAGAAGCUUCUCAGCUUCAAAACGGAUUAAAACCCACCUGAGGACAAUAACGGUUGAUGACAGGUUGUCACCUCGGAAUGCUCGGUGUUGAGUCAAGGAGGGCACGCUCCCUCAACAUGGAUGAGUUUGUGAAACAUUUUGCCAGUUCUCACCAGAACCGCAGAAGUAUGCUGUUUUAAACCUACCUAGGAUAAUUUGGCACUUAGGCUGUCCCUCUGGUCAUGAUUAAAACCUACACUGUGUACUACCUAGUACACUGACAUUCUAAAAUUAUAAAUCCCAAGGGAAUCAUGUCACACAGGUUUAAUUUAGUAUUGAUUAAGCUAAUACCAAAACUUUUCUUUGCUAUUAGUUAACAUAAUAUAUAUGAGCAUAAAUAUGAUACUGUAAGUUUGUAAAAUUGAUGGGCACCAUUUUUUUUUAUCCAUUUAUGCUUGAUACCUGGUAUGUCAAAUUGCAGUC
ensembl:lncRNA